AUUGAACGCUGGCGGCAUGCCUUACACAUGCAAGUCGAACGGUAACAGGUUAAGCUGACGAGUGGCGAACGGGUGAGUAAUAUAUCGGAACGUGCCCAGUCGUGGGGGAUAACGUAGCGAAAGCUACGCUAAUACCGCAUACGAUCUACGGAUGAAAGCGGGGGAUCGCAAGACCUCGCGCGAUUGGAGCGGCCGAUAUCAGAUUAGGUUGUUGGUGAGGUAAAAGCUCACCAAGCCUGCGAUCUGUAGCUGGUCUGAGAGGACAACCAGCCACACUGGAACUGAGACACGGUCCAGACUCCUACGGGAGGCAGCAGUGGGGAAUUUUGGACAAUGGACGCAAGUCUGAUCCAGCAAUGCCGCGUGCAGGACGAAGGCCUUCGGGUUGUAAACUGCUUUUGUACUGAACGAAACGGUGAGCUCUAAUACAGUUUGCUAAUGACGGUACCGUAAGAAUAAGCACCGGCUAACUACGUGCCAGCAGCCGCCGCAG
rnacentral:rRNA from 1 species